rnacentral:tRNA from 2 species
GUGCCUUCGCACAAGCUCGCACGUGAAAGUUACCAGACUACGAAUCUGGGGGUCAGGAGUUCGAAUCUCUUCGGGCGCGCCA